GAUCCCUGGAGCCUUGCUCUGCAGGAGCUCGUCCGUCCAGUGCGAUCCCUGCUGGUCUCCAGUCGCCCUCUCAGCGCUGCACGUGGGAAGACGAGUGGUAGCAGAAGAGUAGGAGUAUGCAGUAGAGAGAGAGAAAAAGAUGACAGAGGGACAGAAAAAGUAAGAAGUGUGAGCAUAUUUGAAUUUCAGAGUAGAAAAAAAUGAGACAAUGAAAAAAAGGAUGAAACAAGAAGAGGGGAGCAGAAAACCCCUGAAAAAACUGGAAUUGGAAAUGCAGGGUGGCACAGGGAAUAAGUGAGCGAAUGGGAGAGGAGGAGAGAGAGUAAGAAGGGAAGGGAGGGAGGCGAACAACACUGCAGACACUCAUCCACUGUCACUGCUCCGCAGCCAGAGGACAGAGGCAGUGCCGGCAUCAGUGGAAGCGGGUACGAUGGAGGAGGACGGCUGCACCAUCCGACUGUGGCUCAGUCCCCACAACUGACCACAUUCCUUGAGAACAUCCAUCCAAGUUUGGAGCAGAACGAUUAAAAAGGGGGGAAACUGCCAUCUCUGUCCUUCACAAGAUCACAAGUUCUGGAGCUCAACUCCUGCAGGACCAAUCGUUCACACCCUUCACUAUAAUUUCUCCCAUUGUACACGCCCACACUCCUCAUCACACCCUCUCCUUCAAACUGAAGCCUGCUGCUCUUCCUGUCGCCUUCUGGACUUGUUUUGGUUGUUUUUUCAUCAUUGCUUCUUUUGCUGACCUUUCGAGCUGAGUGGAUUUACUUUUCUCCUGUGGUGGACCAUGGGGCAGGGGUGGCAGGGUGUAGGAGGAAUCCCCGCGAAAAGGACAGGGGGGAGCAGGUACCUUUUGGUGGCAUUGCUUCUCUGUGGUUUCUGGAUGGCUUACUCGCAGACAGACGAUGGGAAAUCUGUCUACUUCUGGGAAACAGGUCCGUGGGGGAGAUGCAUGGGCAGUGACUGCGGUCCAGGAGGAAGCCAAAGCCGCGCUGUCUGGUGCGCCCACGUGGACGGCUGGACGACUCUUCACACCAACUGUGACCAGGGUCAGCGUCCCUCCAACCAGAGGAACUGUUUCCGUGUGUGUGACUGGCACAAGGACCUGUAUGACUGGAAACUGGGUGCCUGGAAUGAGUGCAUGCCAGUUUCAGCAAGGACCUUUGGGGCUCCACGGCAGUUCACAUGCAGUGGAGGAGAAGAGGGCAUUCAGACCCGGGAGGUGGGCUGCAUGCUCAAGUCAGAUGGGUCUCCAGCAGAGGAUGCCAUCUGUGAAUACUUUGAGCCCAAGCCACGCCUGGAGCAGGCUUGUUUGAUCCCUUGCCCCCAGGAUUGUGUUGUAUCAGAGUAUUCUCCAUGGACCUCCUGCUCCAAAACAUGUGGAACAGGCCUUAGGAACAGAAUACGCAGCGUACUGGUUCCUCCACUUUUUGGAGGAUCCGGUUGUCCUAAUCUCACUGAAUUUGAGUCUUGUAAACCAGGACCUUGCUUGGGUCCUGAGGGAGUGUACAGCCUUAUGGUUGGACCAUGGAGCGCUUGCACCUUACCACAAACUCGAACUACACGGCAAGCAAAGCGAAGGAAAGGGAAAGGCCAAGGACUGAGAGAGCAAGGAGGGGUGAAAGAUCCUGAAACCAGAGAGCUGAUUAAAAAGAAACGGACCAGGAACCGCCUUAACCGGCAAGAGAGUCCAUUCUGGGACAUUCAGGUUGGAUACCAGACCCGGGAAGUGAACUGCAUACACAGGAACGGGAGCAAAGUGGGACGCAAUUUGUGCAUACCUCGGGAACUACCGCUCACCAUCCAGUCCUGCGUUCUUCCUAAAGAUUGCCAGUCAACCGAAUGGACCAACUGGAGCUCCUGCUCCAAGACCUGUGUGGAUCCUGAGACUCCAAGAGGAAAUCGGACUCGAAGGCGACAAGUGCUUCAGUUCCCCGUUGGUGAGGGCAUUGAGUGUCCAUUACUGGAGGAGACGGAGCCUUGUGAACCCCAAGGUGGAAGCAUCCCUCCCUGUGCCAGUUACACAUGGAGAACAACUGAGUGGAGUGACUGUCGGGUUGACUUACUGCUAAGCCAACAGGACCGACGGCGCAGCAACCUGACGGGGCUUUGUGGAGGAGGCCUGCAAACAAGGGAAGUUUAUUGUGUCCAGGCCAAUGCAGAGCUUCUAAAAUACCUCAGCAACCUGAAAGAAAAAGACAAAGCGGGUCAGACCCAAAGACAGCAGAAGCCUAGUGUCCCCCCUCUCCUCUCCAUCACCUUCCAGAUUACAGCCUCCCGCCCAGUGGAAAACAACCUUUGCAGGGGCCCAAUCCCAAACAGAUCCCAGCGCUGCCAGAUCCCCUGUCCCAUUGACUGUGAGGUAUCACCCUGGGGUGCCUGGGGGCCAUGCAUCUUUGAAAACUGUGAUGAUCAGACCGGAAAGAAAGGUUUCAAACUGAGGAAACGGCAGAUUACCAACGAACCAACAGGGGGCCCGGGAAGCUGCCCUCACCUAGUGGAGGCCAUGCCAUGUGAUGAACCCAGUUGUUACAAGUGGCAGCUGGUCAGCCUGGAUAAGUGUGUUCCUGAUGAUGGGAAGCAGUGUGGCCCGGGAACUCAGCUGCCACAAGUGCAAUGCAUCAACAGCAAUGGUGAGCCUGUGGAUAGGAGUCUCUGCUCAUCCUCUGCAACUUUGGAGCCCAUCUCCUGUGAGGUCCCUUGCGCAAGAGACUGUGUGCUCAGCGACUGGACACCCUGGUCAACCUGUUCUCAGACAUGCUCAAGUAAAACCGUGGAGGGCAAACAAAUGAGGACCCGCUCCAUUCUGGCAUACAACGCCGGGGAAGUCAUUGCAAUGGUUGUGGCAUGGAUCACAGUGAUGGAGGGUCUGUCACGGGUCCCCAAGUUCCCAGAACUUUAUGGUGGCUCCCUGUGUCCAAACAGCAGUGCACUUCAGGAGGUGCGGAACUGUAAUGAACAUGCCUGUAUAGUUUACCAUUGGCAGACAGGACCCUGGGGGCCAUGCACAGAAGACCCAUCAACAGCAUCCCUGAACACCUCUGCACGUCCUAAUGGAGAGGAUCAGGGUCUGUGCUCCAUGGGAGUGCAAACCCGCAAGGUCAUGUGCAUCCGGGUCAACGUGGGACAGGUGCCACCCAAAAAGUGUCCAGAAGGCCCUCGCCCGAGCACAAUGCGGCCAUGUCAGCUUCCCUGCAAGAAGGACUGUAUUGUGACCCCUUUCAGUGACUGGACAGGAUGUCCUGUCAACUGUGAUACAGUUGGUGACCCUGCAAAGAGAAAGCAAUCAAGGAGACGUCUUGUCAUCCAGAUGCCUUCUAAUGGUGGGCAGGAGUGUCCGUUGGUGCUUCAGGAGGAAAGGGACUGUGAGGUUCCAAAAGUCUGUCCUGGUUUCAGGUGGAAAACUCACAAAUGGAGGAAGUGUCAGCUGGUCCCAUGGUUCCUCAGAAAAGAGACUCCUGGUGCCCAAGAAACAUGUGGACCAGGACUUCAGACUCGAGCUGUUUCCUGCCGCCAGCUGGACGGGACGCAGGCCGACAUCAGCGAGUGUCUGAGGUCCGCCAAGGCCAUGCCCGCCAUCACUCAGCGUUGUCAGCUCCCCUGCCAGGAUGACUGCCAGUUAACCAACUGGUCCAAGUUCUCGUCCUGCACAGCUGACUGUGUGGGGGUCCGCACCAGAAAGAGGGCAUUGAUAGGGAGAAGCAAAAAGAAGGACAAGUGUAAAAACACACAAAUGUACCCUCUAAGUGAGACGCAGUACUGUCCCUGCGAUAAGUACAACGCCCAGCCAGUAGGGAGGUGGUCUGACUGCAUCCUGCCAGAGGGAGGCAGGCCAGAGAUCACUGGAGUGAUGAAGGUCCAGGGAGACGUCAAGGAGUGUGGACAGGGUUACCGCUAUCAGGCUAUGGUGUGUUACGAUCAAGACAAUCGGCUGGUGGAGACCUCGCGCUGCAACAGUCACGGUUAUAUUGAGGAAGCGUGCAUCAUUCCCUGCCCAUCCGACUGUAAACUCAGUGAGUGGUCCAACUGGUCCCGGUGCAGCAAGUCGUGCGGAAGUGGAGUGAAAGUCCGCUCCAAGUGGCUUCGAGAGAAGCCGUACAACGGAGGCCGACCAUGUCCAAAACUGGACCACGUCAACCAGGCCCAGGUGUAUGAGGUGGUACCCUGUCAGAGUGACUGCACACAGUAUGUUUGGGUCGCUGAGCCGUGGAGUGUGUGGAAGGUCAGCAAUGUGGAUCUGAAGGAGAACUGUGGAGAGGGUGUCCAGACCAGAAAAGUCAGGUGCAUGCUGAACACUGUGGAUGGCCCAUCUGAGGCUGUGGAGGAUUACCUCUGUGACCCGGAGGAGAUGCCCCUAGGGGCCAGGGAAAGCCGGCUGCCAUGCCCAGAGGACUGUGUCCUCAACGACUGGGGCCCCUGGAGCCGCUGUAGCAUGCCCUGUACCAGAAACAACAGCCGAGUGCGGACAGCAUACACCCUUCGAUACCCUGGUGUGGGCAGGCAAUGCCCGGAGUUGUCUGACAAAGAGCCAUGCAGUCUGAACCUAAACUGCUUCAAUUACUUCUACAACAUCACAGACUGGAGCACUUGUCAGCUGAGUCCCAAUGCUGUUUGUGGAAGCGGGAUCAAGACCCGAAUGCUUGACUGCGUUCGCAGUGACGGCAAAUCUGUAGAUAUUAAAUACUGCGAGGAGCUAAAUUUGGAGAAGAACUGGCAGAUGAACGUCUCCUGCACAGUUGAGUGUCCGGUUAACUGCCAGCUGUCAGAGUGGUCGGCAUGGUCAGAGUGUUCACAAACCUGUGGACUAGAAGGUAAGAUGCGGAGGCAGCGCUUGGUGGUUCAGGCGUCGCAAGGUGACGGCCGGCCGUGUCCUUCCCAAAUGGAGCAGUGGAAGCCCUGCCCCGUCAGGCCCUGCUACAGAUGGGAGUACAGCCCCUGGUCUGAGUGUCGGGUUGAGAGUGUGGUUUGCGGACAUGGGACGCGCUACAGGAACCUGUCCUGCUUUGUGUCAGAUGGCUCCAGUGACGGCGAGAGCAGCAUGGUGGACGAAGAGCUGUGCAGCAGCCUGGAGUUGGCUGUAAAUGGAAACAAGAAUAUCAUACUGAAAGAGGCCUGCACCCUCCCAUGUCCAGGUGAAUGCUACCUAAUGGAGUGGUCUGACUGGAGUUCAUGUGUGAACAUCUGUGUAAAAGGAGCUGGUGUGGACUUUGGCUCGGUUCAGGUCCGGUCACGCGCCGUACUGGCCCAGGAGCCUGAAAACCUGCAGCUAUGUCCAGACCAGGCGUGGGAGUCGCAGCCUUGCACAGGAGGAGAAUGUUUCGAGUACAAGUGGUUCAGCAGCAUUCGUCCAAACUCCAGCCGUCCCUUUAUCUGGUGCCAACGCUCAGAUGGACUAAAUGUCACCGGUGGUUGUCCUGCAAUGAACCCUCCAGUAGACAACAGCUCCUGUGACCCUCCCUGUCUCAAGCCAAAGUCCUUCUGCAGUGAAGCUGGGGUGUGCAUAUGCGAGGAGGGUUUUACUGAGGUCCUAUCUGCUGCUGGACAGUUGGACCAGUGUGCCCCCAUCCCAAUCCUGGAGAUUCCCACUGCAGGGGACAAGAAAGGAGAUGUAAAGACCAGUCGUGCCAUUAACCCCACCAUGCCCACCACCAUCCAGCCCGGUCGCACCGGGCGGACCUGGUACCUGCAGCCCUACGGACCAGAUGGGAAGCUGAAGAUGUGGGUGUACGGUGUAGCAGCAGGAGCCUUUGUACUCCUCAUUUUCAUAGUGUCUAUGAUAUACCUAGCUUGCAGCCUUUGUGUCAAGGUACAUCGCUCUUUAAAGGCCCAAGAAUCUGACGCCAACGGGACGGUGGUGUGGAAUGGCCAGAACUCUCAUGAGAUGGUUUAUACCUGUCCCGAGUGCCAAGAGCUGGCUCAAAGCAAUAGUAGCUAAAGAGGAUGUGGAGGUGUCGGACCCACUCCAGCACCCCCCUCCACUCUAAAGCAGCAGCAGUCCCAGGGUUUCCCUGUGACUGCUCAAAAAAGUGCCCUAUUUUCUGCCUGAGUAGCCGGGUGAAGGUACAGCAAAAAGCCAAAGAGACCUCAGAGACAGAGGCAGCAGAACAACCGGCUAAAACCUCUAACGCUCGCCUACGACGGUGACACGGACAUGUAGAGCCUCUACACCCGUCAAAGGAGACCCCCUUCAUUACGCCAUGACAGUGAGGGACAUGGACGUUAGAAGCGUGAAUGGACACACAACAGAAAAAAGAAAUCACUUCAAAUCCUCUUAGCAAAGACACUGCUGGGUUAAAUGGUUUCAGUUGAGCUUGAUUAAGUCUUAUUCUAUUUUUCUUAACCAGAACCUUCAUGACCUCCAGCUUGUUGAGUAAAAAGCCUUCUUAACCCCUGAUGUGUCCCUUACUGAGACUCAGGAGUGUACAGUAGAUGGGAGUUUCCAUCUCUCCCCCUUUUCCAAACAUGGCAGCACCAGAUCCAACUCUUUCACCCCCGCGCUUUUCUGCUUGUCCCUGAAAAUGCUGAGUAGCUGGAGGCUUUGGACGCUCUGACUGUUUGUAUGUUGCCAAAAGUCACCGCAGGGAAGAGGAGGAGGGAGAGUAAAAUCUCCAUCAAAAGGUUUGGAUUCCUUUUUCCCCUCAAUCCUCAACUGGGUUUUGACUCAAAUCUCUUUUUUUCAGUCUUGAACAAAAGGGAGGCAUUUCUUCUCCUUUAUUUCUGCUUGAUUCAGAGGCACACAGGCCUGUGUUUUUGGGAUAAACUGAUCCAUGUGAUGCUGAUGAAGAAGCAGCCCGUUAUCACUUGCUGGCGGACACCACUGCCUGCCAGCCUCCACCCUUGCUUUGUUUCAGGCUCUACAUUGCACUAUAUUAGUGCAGCAUGAUAUGCAUAUGUGACUUCUACCUUCUAUUGCCAUAAAACACUGCCUCUACCACAAACAGAACCACACAGCAGAGGGACGACGAAAGCAACAGGGGAACACGAAACACAAACAGUCCAAUAAAACAGGUGUGAUCCACCAGUAAAUAUCUGUAUAGAUUUCAUUAUUUUGCAGCAGAGUUUUUGGUUUAGUAAAGUACAUUUUUGUGGGUUCUUUUUAGACUCCGUCUGGUGUUUCCACUUUAUUUUUACCCAGAUGUAAGUGCGUUUAAAAAAAAACUGCCAGUUCUAAAACGAUUUAUUGAUUGUUUCCCUGAACUAAAACAUGUAUAGGAGAGAGGGAAGUUUCGCAACAGCUUUGAAAGAGAAACUGAAGCCAUUCAUGUCAUGCAAACAUCAUUUCUGCCUUAAAGAUAAUUAAAGAGCUGCUCUGAAUAUUUGAUUAGGCAGAUAAUAUACAGUACAAGCAGAAAAAAUGACAAAUUUUCCCUCAUCUAGGCGAAUCAGUUCAUCUAGCUUUCACAUGUAAUACGCACAUUAUAGAUGCUCUAAUGUUACAGUCUCACUACAUUGAGAUGAAAUAUAUAAAAGAUACCCUGUACAAAUGAACUAUACAAUAUGUUAAUAAGAAUAUGCCUCUGAGUUCAGUGUAAAAGCAAACUUGUGUGGAGAAUGUUUACUUUUUUUCGUGAAAUCUGUAAAUAACAAUGACUUUUUUAUUUUUUUGGAGAAAAAAAAAUGUGUAAAUUUAUUUUGUAUUGCACAGAAAACGUUAGUUUGAUUAUUGCAAAGUGGGUGUAUGAUAUUGCUGAUUGUUGUAACCAUGAUGCAAGUUGUAUGUUGUGACUAAGAAAAAAACCCCGAGGGGAAUGAAAAGAGGAAGAGAGGUGGUUGUUCUGUACAGGUUGUUCAUAUAUGGAAAGAGUUACUGAAAAUAAAUGCGGACACGGUUGUCAACAUAAA